AGAGUUGAUCAUGGCUCAGAACGAACGCUGGCGGCAUGGAUUAGGCAUGCAAGUCGAACGGGAGCAGCAAUGCUCCAGUGGCGCAAGGGUGAGGAACACGUGAACAACCUGCCUUCGAGUUGGGGGAUAGCUUCUGGAAACGGGAGAUAAUACCGAAUUAACAUCAUCGGACCGCAUGGUCUGAUGAUCAAAGCAGCAAUGCGCUUGAAGAGGGGUUCGCGUCCCAUUAGCUAGUUGGUGAGGUAACGGCCCACCAAGGCGAUGAUGGGUAGCUGGUCUGAGAGGACGAUCAGCCACAUUGGGACUGAGAUACUGCCCAGACUCCUACGGGAGGCUGCAGUCGAGGAAUUUUGGGCAAUGGACGAAAGUCUGACCCAGCCAAUGCCGCGUGCGGGAUGAAGGUCUUCGGAUUGUAAACCGCUGUCAAGAGGGACGAAACAUGACGGUACCUCUGGAGGAAGCCACGGCUAACUACGUGCCAGCCGCUGC
rnacentral:rRNA from 1 species